GGGACCCCUUCUCGCCCGCGCGUGGACCCUCGCCGCGCUCUUGCUUGACAGUCACCACGAAGCCCCCAUGCUGGCCCGGAGCCUUGCCGCCCGCCGGCCUGGAGCCAAGGAUACCGCGGUCAGCCCCGUCCCAAGAAUCUCCCCUCCCCCAAAAGCCCACCCCAGGGCGUUUUGACCCCCGACGGCGGGGCUGCAGCGAGAGUGCAUGAGCCCGAGGAGGCAGGGUCUGAUGGGGCACCGUCUGCGUCCUGCUGUCCUUCCCCUUCAUCUUCAGCCCCUGCCUGGGCUGUGGGGCGGCCACGCCCGAGUGGGCUGCCCUCCUCUACUACGGCCCGUUCAUCGUGAUCUUCCAGUUUGGCUGGGCCUCCACACAGAUCUCCCACCUCAGCCUCAUCCCGGAGCUCGUCACCAACGACCAUGAGAAGGUGGAGCUCACGGCACUCAGAACCUGUCCCUGCUGGUGGUGGGUGUCGGCGCCGUGUUCUCACUGCUAUUCCACCUGGGCACCCGGGAGAGGCGCCGGCCGCAUGCGGAGGAGCCAGGCGAGCACACCCCCC
rnacentral:lncRNA from 1 species